CCCAUACCUAUUAUUAAGUUGAACCCAGAUACUAUGAGCAGUGUCAGAGUAUUGGACACUCUGUGCUAUCUCAGGUGUAAGGGAAUUUGUGAGCCACAAAAUGACCAUAUUGUUGCAUCUAUCCCACUGUCUAAACUGUGGGGAAUUUUCAGGAGGCUUAGGCAAGGAACCAUCAAUAAAACCUAUUUUGUUUCUAGCGGACGAGGAGACUAUUACGUUUCUCCUCCAACCCCUAAAACCAAUCCCUGAGAAAGGAUUGGUAACCAAGGAGACUCCAGGAACAUCAGAUGACAUGAG
rnacentral:lncRNA from 1 species